rnacentral:rRNA from 1 species
CGAACGCUGGCGGCAGGCCUAAUACAUGCAAGUCGAACGGCUCUUCGGAGCAGUGGCGGACGGGUGAGUAACGCGUGGGAAUGUGCCCUUUGGUACGGAACAACACAGGGAAACUUGUGCUAAUACCGUAUGUGCCCUUCGGGGAAAGCUUUAUCGCCAUUGGAGCAGCCCGCGUUGGAUAAGGUAGUUGGUGAGGUAAAGGCUCACAAAGCCUACGAUCCAUAGCUGGUCUGAGAGGAUGACCAGCCACACUGGGACUGAGACACGGCCCAGACUCCUACGGGAGGCAGCAGUAGGGAAUCUUGCGCAAUGGGCGAAAGCCUGACGCAGCCAUGCCGCGUGUAUGAUGAAGGUCUUAGGAUUGUAAAAUGCUUUCACCGGGGAAGAUAAUGACGGUACCCGGAGAAGAAGCCCCGGCUAACUUCGUGCCAGCAGCCGCCGUAAAAC